AGAGUUUGAUUCUGGCUCAGAACGAACGCUGGCGGCGUGGAUAAGACAUGCAAGUCGGACGAGAUUUUUCGUUGUAGCAAUACGAUGGAAAAUUUAGUGGCGAACGGGUGCUUAACACGUGGGCAACCUGCCAGGAAGUGGGGGACAGCUCGCCGAAAGGCGGAUUAAUACCGCAUGUGAUUAGAGAGGACAUCCUUUCGAAAUUAAAGUCGGGGCAACCUGACGCUUCUUGUGGGGCCCGCGGCCUAUCAGCUAGUUGGUGAGGUAACGGCUCACCAAGGCUCUGACGGGUAGCUGGUCUGAGAGGACGACCAGCCACACUGGGACUGAGACACGGCCCAGACACCUACGGGUGGCAGCAGUCGAGAAUUUUUGACAAUGGGGGAAACCCUGAUCGAGCGACGCCGCGUGGAGGAUGAAGGUCUUCGGAUUGUAAACUCCUGUCAUUGGGGAACAAUGCACAGAUAUUAACUGUAUUUGUGUUGAUAGUACCCGAAGAGGAAGAGACGGCUAACUCUGUGCCAGCAGCCGCGGUAA
rnacentral:rRNA from 1 species